AUUGAACGCUGGCGGCAGGCUUAACACAUGCAAGUCGAGCGGGGUGAUGGUGCUUGCACUAUCACUUAGCGGCGGACGGGUGAGUAAUGCUUAGGAAUCUGCCUAUUAGUGGGGGACAACAUCUCGAAAGGGAUGCUAAUACCGCAUACGUCCUACGGGAGAAAGCAGGGGAUCACUUGUGACCUUGCGCUAAUAGAUGAGCCUAAGUCGGAUUAGCUAGUUGGUGGGAUAAAGGCCUACCAAGGCGACGAUCUGUAGCGGGUCUGAGAGGAUGAUCCGCCACACUGGGACUGAGACACGGCCCAGACUCCUACGGGAGGCAGCAGUGGGGAAUAUUGGACAAUGGGGGGAACCCUGAUCCAGCCAUGCCGCGUGUGUGAAGAAGGCCUUAUGGUUGUAAAGCACUUUAAGCGAGGAGGAGGCUCUUUUGGUUAAUACCCAAGAUGAGUGGACGUUACUCGCAGAAUAGGCACCGGCUAACUCUGUGCCAGCAGCCGCCGUAA
rnacentral:rRNA from 1 species